UAGGCUUCACACGUCAUACAAUGGUCGGUACAGGAGGGUUGCCAAGCCGCGAGGCGGAGCCAAUACCCACAAAGCCGAUCGUAGUCCGGAUUGUUCUCUGCAACUCGAGAGCAUGAAGUCGGAAUCGCUAGUAAUCGCAGGUCAGCAUACUGCGGUGAAUACGUUCCCGGGUCUU
rnacentral:rRNA from 1 species